UGAGAUUGUCGGUGUUGCCAGAAAGCGCUU
rnacentral:piRNA from 1 species